rnacentral:tRNA from 1 species
CCCUGGUGGCUCAGAGGUUAAAGCGCCUGCCCAUGAUGCAGGAGACCCGGGUUCAAUCCCUGGAUCAGGAA